rnacentral:rRNA from 1 species
UACAGAGGUGGCAAGCGUUGUUCGGAAUUACUGGGCGUAAAGGGCGCGUAGGCGGCCACCGCAAGUCGACUGUGAAAUCUCCGGGCUUAACCCGGAAAGGUCAGCCGAUACUGCGGGGCUAGAGUGCAGAAGGGCAACUGGAAUUCUCGGUGUAGCGGUGAAAUGCGUAGAUAUCGAGAGGAACACCUGCGGCGAAGGCGGGUUGCUGGGCUGACACUGACGCUGAGGCGCGAAAGCUAGGGGAGCGAACGGG